rnacentral:rRNA from 1 species
GACGAACGCUGGCGGCGUGCCUAAUACAUGCAAGUCGAACGCAGUGGGGACGGGUGAGGAACACGUGGGUAACCUCCCAUCAGAGGGGAUAACACUUGGAAACAGGUGCUAAAACGAUACUGAUGGAUGGACGCGGGGUGCAUUAGCAAGUGGGGGGGGGAACGGCUCACCAAGGCCACGAUGCAUAGCCAACCUGUGAGGGUGAUCAGCCACACUGGGAGUGAGAUACGGCCCAGACGCCUACGGGAGGCAGCAGUAGGGAAGCUUCGGCAAUGGACGAGAGUCUGACCGAGCAACGCCGCGUGAGUGAAAAAGUUUUUCGGAUAGUAAAACUCGGUUGUUAGUGAAGCGGUAUCUAACGAGAAAGCCACGGCUAACUACGUGCCAGCAGCCGCGGUAAUUC